CACCACCUGCUGCCCUGACUCCCUCUCUUCCGCACACACGCACACGCGCAUACGUGUGCGCACGCCGCGGCUCCCUCCUGCGUCCUUUGCGAGAGAGCGACGAGACGCCGCCUUCGUCGUUAAGAAGGGCAUACCCACACACACGCACGCACGCGUGCACCAAACAUACUCCCCGCCCCCCCCCCCCAACUCUCGCAACCCCCUGCAGCACACACUGACGCUUCCACGCAGACGCGUAGACAGCCUCCAGCGUUGCUCGACUCCCGCGCAUACGCACACUCUUUUCGUUACUUUCUCUCUCGCUCAGCUGUCCUGCUGCCCUUUUCUCUUUGUAUGCCUCUUCCUCGCUGAGGUCUCCGUCCCUCUCUCUCUCGCUGUCUCUCCCUCCUCCUCACACUGUGCGCCGGUCCUCGCCGUCGCUGCCCAUCUGCCUUUUCGGUGUGUUUCAUCGUCUGUGACUUGCUGGCGUUGCUCUUGCGGUUCUCUGGCCGUUGUCUCCGUGUGUGUGUGUGUGUGUGCGUCUCGCUGUUCCCUCGUUUUUUGUUUUUAUUUUGGAUUCAGUGCUGCGUCGCAGAGACACGCCGAUAGAGAGACGCACUCGCGCAUCCGAACACCCGCGCCGCGGCGCGUCGCCAGAUGAUCUCGGAAGAGGACAGCCGCCUGUUUGAGGCGGCGAAGCGGGCGCAGGUGAGCCGAAAUACCGCCAUCCACGUGAUCGAGAAUACCAACUCGAGCCGCAUUCUCGCCGGGGCCUUUGUACGGGUGCUGUUGGAGAUGCCCACUCGCAACGAGGGGUACGUGGUGGCGCGCAUUCACAGCACGACCGCCGGUGAGCCUUACAGCGGCUUCUCGACCAACCCAGCUCAGACGACGAACGUGUACUUGAUGCUAGAGCUUCCACCGCCUCUCGCCGCCAUCAACGGCGUCCAGUAUCAGCUGAACAGCGUCAGCAACAGCAGCAUGGGCGAGGGCGAGUUCCGCGAUUGGCUGCAGAUGAUCCGCAACGAGCCCACGCUGCGGGUGCCGACUGUGCAAGGGCUUAAAGAGGUGACGGCUCGCCUGCAUCCGUACGAAGUGAGCCGACACCGCUCCAACUCUCACGUCAGCGCUAACGGGUCGAUGGCGACCAACGGUCGAGCGGGUGUGGUCGACACAAGUGGCAACGUACCACAUCCGCAACUGGCGCAGCAGCAGCAACAACAAAGAAGUCUCUCCGCCCACGGGGCUGCUCGGCAGCGCCGCCAAAGCCUCGCCGCAAGCUCGCAGACGAUGCUGAUACCACCAAUGCUGCAGGACGGCGCUCCCCUCCCCGACAGCGGCGAUGCGCUGCUCAGGCGAAGUUCUGCCGCGAUGUACGAAGGGGACAGCAGCGGCGUCAUCGCGAACGCGGAGAGCAGUGCGAGCGCCGCCGGCAGCAACAGCAACUACAACGUCAACAAUCGCCUCGGACGGCAAGGGACCGUGAUGACGCGCGACUAUAACCGCAACCCACGCGAGGACGGGCAAGCGUCGCACGAAAUGUCCAACGCAGAGGUGCCGGUCAUGAGCUUCUACACCGCGGCAACAGGCAGCCAGCAGGAGCAGCAACAGCGAACUAUGUUUCCUCUUCCGCAUGGUGGCGGUGGUGUGGCGAGUGAGAGUGACGGCGGCCCCGCCUUGGCAGCCACCACCUCCUUCAUGACGCGCGGCGCCACCGACCCGAAUAUGGAGAGCGAGGACGAGGAGAUGGAGCGUCGUCUGCGGCAGGAAAUUAUGAACCACCUAGCUCAGGAGUGUGUCCUGUUCCCGAAAGACGCGCAGGGCUACAAGCUCUCCCGCCUGCGCCUGCUGGAGCGAGACAUGAUCGAGUACCUGCAGCACGUCCGUGACGAGAUUCAGGGUAAGCAAGAAAACUGCAUUGUGUGCAUGGACCACGUCCCCACGGUAAUCCUGCUGCCUUGUAAGCACAAGGUCAUGUGCCGACUGUGUGCCCCGUCGUGCCCCACCUGCCCAGUGUGUCGCAGUAAGAUUGCGGAGAUGUUCGAGCCGGAGGAAAUCUAGGCAGAUACUCCAACGAGGAACGAGAAGGUACUUACACAUAUGCACACCAGAUACACAAUCAGCAUGCAAGCAUGCACGUGCGGACGCGCCUGAGCGGAUUGUGCGUGGCCGGUGCACGAUACCUGGCGCGCCUUGGGCUAUCACUCUCCACGCUCCUGAACACGUGUGCACAUAGGCGCAAGGAGGGAGAGAGAGAAAGAGACGAGGAACUAGGUGAGGUAGUACAGGCGGUGCCAUGCGCAUGCGCCUCUCUGCAACGCGGCACAUACUGGUCAGAGACCCAAGGCUGAACAUGUAAUUUUCCGACUCUGUCCUCGUCAACUGUCGAACCCUUGAGGGGACAGCUAGAGAGAUCGAGAGAGGGUGUCAGACACACAACCACGCGCACGAAGUGGUUUGGGAGCAAUGACGGCACGCGAGGGAAGCGAUGUCGAGCUUGGGAAGCGGGGGAGGGGGUUCCCUUCAUGUCCUGUGCGCCGACGUUCUCGUGCUCUUAUUCGUUGCUUGUCUGUCUGUCUGUCUGCAUGUGUUGUCGUGUGCCCCCGCCCCCCCCUCCCCCUUCGCUCGUAUUCUGCCCUGCGCACCGCCGCAUGCGUGGUGGGGGGUAACGAGAGAGGGAGAGAGAGAUGUGUUUGCUUGGUCGAGUUGGACUUCAGCCCGUUAUCCCUUGCUUGUGUCGUGUUCGCGUGUGUGCCUCUGCAUCCGUGUCCUCCCUCCCCCCG
rnacentral:misc_RNA from 1 species